AUUGAACGCUGGCGGCAGGCUUAACACAUGCAAGUCGAACGAGUGGCGGACGGGUGAGUAAUGUCUGGGAAUCUGGCUGAUGGAGGGGGAUAACUACGGGAAACGGUAGCUAAUACCGCAUACCAUAGGAUGUGCCCAGGUGGGAUUAGGUAGUUGGUGGGGUAAAGGCGCACCGAGCCGACGAUCCCUAGCUGGUCUGAGAGGAUGACCAGCCACACUGGGACUGAGACACGGCCCAGACUCCUACGGGAGGCAGCAGUGGGGAAUAUUGCGCAAUGGGCGCAAGCCUGACACAGCCAUGCCGCGUGAAUGAAGAAGGCCUUCGGGUUGUAAAGCUCUUUCGGUAGGGAGGCGUUACCUACAGAAGAAGCACCGGCUAACUCCGUGCCAGCAGCCGCGGUAAUUC
rnacentral:rRNA from 1 species